AAAUAAAGAGGACUGUAAAUAUU
rnacentral:piRNA from 1 species